GGUAUUUAUUACUAAAAGUGUUUUAAAACUGGACCAUUGAGUAAAGUCACUCCAUCUCCUACCAUUCCUAGCACAGCGCUUGAUAAAUAUUUGCUGGCUCAUUCAGCUGCAGCUGCAGAGACCUACCUGUGGUUGCUGUGGCGACUGUCUGGGCCAAAGCUCAGGCAGCUGGAAGUAUCAGUGAAGCCAGAAGAUUUCAGCUGUUCAGGGUCUGUGAGAAGGAGUCAAGGUCUGGGGUUUGUGUCCUCUGCAUAGCAAUGGCACUGCAAUGGACGAGCCUGGUGCAGGGCUGGGCUGUCUCGCCACUGUCACCUGCCUGUUGAGGGAUGAUGGUGGUUGUUGAGAGGCUGGAUCAGACCCCAGAGGUGUGGCAUGGAUGUGACAUAUUUGUUGGACUUACACAGUCUUGUAUUUUAUUUCCAUCUCUGUUCCUUCCUUCCAUGAGAUCUUGGGUGUUGCUUCAUCAACCCUGAGUAAUCGUUUCUUCAUCUGCAAGAUGGAAUAAGAAGGCCUACCUCACUGGGCUCGUGUGGGUGAGGAGAACUGAAGAGUCUGAGAGCACCAGCGUGGUGCUUGGCACGAGCCAGAGGCUACAGAAAACACUGCCCUCCCACACUCCACCUUGGAGAGACUCAGAAAAGAGCAAGCUUCAUUUGAAAAAAAGGAAAACAGCUCAGGCAAUGGGGUGGCUUAGAGGCACUCUACUGUGCACACAUGCCUUCCACUUCUUCCAUCUGCCAUGUCUUUCCAAGAACCCCUAUGGCCCUGGGCUCAGAGCAGAGCUGAGUGCAGAAAUGAAAAUCUAUGGCCCUGUGUUCCAAAACAAUGAAGAAUUUCAAGAUGGUGGCAGUGGCAAAAUCCUUCUCCAGGAAAAUUCUUUCCUUGGCCCAAUGUGUAAACACUUGCUGAGGUCCUGUGGAGUUCCUGUUGUGAAACCAGCAACUUGUUCACAAUUCUUCUGAAUUUCUCGGGAAAUUUGAAGUGGAGUACCUGUACCAACAUGAAAUGGUACGAAUUUAAGUGAAGCUCAACAACAAAAAGCAAAAAGAACCAAAGAGGAAGCAACUGAAACAACAUCUGGAUGUAUUUAAAAAUAUACAGUGCCUCUAAAAUCAGGUGUCAUUAAUGAAAAUUCUCAAGAAAUGCCACCGGACAUAGCCAAUGCACCCAUACUAUUGUUAUUCAUUUCCUGCUUUUUACAGAAAACAAUUUUGUUGCAUGGAAGAUUGGUGAGUUAUAAAAAGACCUGCCCUGGGAGAAUGGCGUGAACCAGGAGGCGGAGCUUGCAGAGAUCGCGCCACCGCACUCCAGCCUGGGUGACAGAGCGAGACUCCAUCUCAAAAAAAAAAAAAGAAAAAAAAAGACCCGCCCUGGGUGUCAAGCACAGUAGUUACACCGCUUGUUCUGGCCCCUCUGCUUGGGAUACGUGGGCAGGGUGCCCUGGUGGUAGGGCCUUGGUCACCAGCCAAGUCAGUUCCCAUGGGAUCCUCUUUCUGAGCUGAUGCCCACUCCCUUGAAGAAGGGACUUCUGUUCAGGCGUCUCGUUGCAAGGAGCAGAAACCCACUUAGGCUGGCUCAAGUCAACCGUGUUCAGCUGCUCAACAUCCUGUUUCACAGGCAUGUCCCAGCCUCUCUUGGGGUAUGACUCGAGGCUGGCAGGGGAGACCCAGGGAAUGUCACCAGUCUUUGGGGUUGCCUCAGCUCAAAACAGUCCCUCCUUUCAGCUAUUUUUCUUUCUUUCUUUCUUUUUUUUUUGGGGAUUGGGUCUUGCCCUGUUGCUCAGGCUGGAGUGCAGUGAUGUGAUCUCGGUUCACUGCAACCUCCACCUCCUGGGCUCAAGCAAUCCUCCCACCUCAGACUCCUGAGUAGCUGGGACUACAGGCCUGUGCCACCAGGCCUGGCUAAGUUUUAAAUUUUUUUUUGUAGAGACAGAAUUUUGCCAUGUUGCCUAGGCUGGUCUCGAACUCCUGAGCUCAAGCGAUCCACCUGCCUCAGUCUCCCAAGGUGCUGGGAUUACAGGCGUGAGCCACCUUGCCCGGCCUCCCUCCUUCCACUUUUAGGUAGCUGUGUUCAGAGUGGGUCAUCCAGCAGAGGCAAACAGGUACAAAGUUGCUUCCAAGGCCCUGUGGGAAAUUCUUAUUAAUUCAGUUGACAAAUAUGUGUUAAGUGCCUUCUUUAAGGACAGACAAUGUCAGACCAGACUCAGAGGCUGUCUUACUGGGGGAGCUAUGGCACACAUGAGCAUGGCCAGAAUUCAAGGAAGGGUGGGAGAGGGGCUCUAAGAGAGAGGCAGGUGAGUUGUUAGGGGUAUGUGAAGAAGGGUGAGAGAACUUUGCCCCAGGGGUCUCCAAGAGGGGCUGGGGGCCUUUGUAGAAACUGAGAUGUGCCAGGAGAGAACAUCUUCUAAAGAAUGGCAUGCUUGGCUGGGCGCAGUGGCUCACACUUGUAAUCCCAGCACUUUGGGAGGCCGAGGCAGGUGGAUGACUUGAGGCCAGGAGUUUGAUACCAGCCUGGCCAAUGUAGGGAAAUCCCGACUCUACUAAAAAUACAAAAUUCAGCUGGGCAUGGUGGCACACACCUGUAGUCCUAGCUACUUGGGAGGCUGAGGCAGAAGAAUUGCUUGAACCCGGGAGGCAGGAGCUGCAGUGAGCUGAGAUUGCACCACUGCACUCCAGCUUGGGUGACAGAGCAAGAUCCUGUGUUUAAAAAAAAAAAAAAAAAAAAAACAGACUGGCAUGCUGUGUUUAUUUAUACCAGCUCUGUGACUUUGAGCAAGUCCCCCCUGCCUUCUGGGACACAGCUCCCUCCUCUGAUGAAGCGGGGUGAGCGGGCCAAUGGUCUGACAUUGACAUUAUGGGCUGAAUGUAAUGAGGAUAAAGUCAGGCAAUCGCAGAUUGCCAGCCCCCAUCCAGAGUUAAGUGCUUAAUAAACAGUGGCUGAUGGCAUGUUCGCAGGGUCUCCCAGGAACUUCCCCUUCGCUGAUGGUUUUCUGCCCUGACGCAGAGUAGAAUCAAGGGCUUAACUCAGACCUUCACUCAGAAAAGGCCUUUCUGCAGGUGCUGAGCUAAUUCUGGGGUUCUCUGAUGAGUGAGCCCAGUCCACGCUUGGAAUUUCCAGAGGAACAAAUACCGUGGCCCUUGCACAACCUUCCUCAAAUAUACACUGUCUCAGUGGAGCUUUUGAGAGAAGCUGAAUAGCUCUUGUAAAAUAUAAACUGUCAUUUUUGUUGCUAAUAAUAAUAAUGACAGUAAAUUCCUAGGCUCCUGCCUUGGAAUCAUAGCCUAUCUGGAGGCAAAUUUCAUCAUCACCCAAGGACUGGCCCAGCACCAGGAAUAAUAACUUCAGCGUUCCUUAUGCCUCAGAGGUUCACUAGGUCCGUGUACGUGCCUUUCUGACUCACCUCUAGAUAUGGUGGUGCCUCUGCUGCAGGACGGCUUGCUCUUUCACUGCCGUUCACGACUAUUUCAUGUCUCUCAGGCACUUUAGCUGUAUACCUAAUUUAAUCCUCUAGCAACCCUGUGAGGGAGGUCAUCUUAGGGAUGACUGGGAUUGGAACCCGGUUCUGUCUGCGUUCAGAGCCCAAGCUCCUAAGCACAGCCUCUUUGCUGUUUGACGGAAACAGUUCCAGCUCUGGGAGGUGCAGGCCAAGAUGAGCAUCCUGAAACAGGCUUCUCUGAAAGGAAAGAACAUAAAAUAAGGGCCUUGACCCAACUCAACGAAAUGUCUUAUGCUCAGUCACCACUGAGUGAGAAUCUGUUAAAAUCUGGUCAGUCCUGUGCUGAACUUGCCUGGAGCACUUUCCAGGUAGAGAGAAACUGGUGAAUGAAGAAAAUGCAUCAUGAUGAUUGCAAAGGAAACACUUAAUCUAUGGAAGAUAAUACCUUGUUUUGAGGCAUUUGCAAAUACUUUCUGAGACAUCCUGUUCCACGCCAAUAAUGGAUGGACUAACCUCAAAUUGUUCUUAUUUGUUCAUUAACGCAAGUCCCCCAAGGGCUUGCUAUGCAACACUUUAUUAGCCUGGACCGAGUAAUAUAUUUUAAAGUAAUAAAACUACAUUAUUUUAAAAUUAUUUUUUAAUGUGGACUUUCCAGCCAUUGACUGCCCUCUCUGAUAGGUCUGAAUUAGUGAGUUUUAAUUGUGUGUAAAAGAGCAAUAAAAUCAUCAUUAUGAAAAUGAUGGGGUGCCUCCUUCACAGCAGGCACUGUGCUGGGCCUUAACCCACUCAGCCUCACUAAUCCCGCCAUGUGGGCGCCACAUGCCCUCACUGCACAGACAGAACUCAUGCUCGGAGGGAUUCAACUCCUUGCUAAUGAAUGGGGGAGCCAGGACUGAAACCCAGGCGUGUCAACCUCUGUUGGGGCUCAGAAAAUGAUACUCCUCAAUAUGAUGCUUUGACAUGCUGGACUAAAGAAGUAGCCUCAAGGUCUCUUGACCUUCCCUACCCCUCCUACCUUCCUGUUUCUCAACCCCUUGUCUCUCCCAAAACACAGGACAAGGCUGUUCUCUGAAGUUCCCUCGUUCACCUAGAAACCGGAUGGCCAAAGAGGAACACAAUUGCCUUCCAUCCCUUCCCUGAAAUUUCAUUACCCAGCGGAUUAAAACUCAUAUCACAGAGGAAGAGAUUGAAAAUUAAACAUCACACCGAUGACCCAUACUUCGGAGCAUUGACCCAAAUUGUCCGUUUUUAGGUCCCACUCCAUCUCCAAAGAUAAUUAUUUCCUAACCAUUGUCUGAGCAUUGGGCCCAUUCAUUCCUCUUAAAAAUCAUUUGCUGGGCCAGGCACAGUGGCUCACGCCUGUAAUCCCAGCACUUUGGGAGGCCGAAGUGGGAAGAUCAUGAGGUCAAGAGAUCGAGACCAUCCUGGCCAACAUGGUGAAACGCUGUCUCUACUAAAAAUACAAAGAUUAGCUGGGCAUGGUGGCACAUGCCUGUAGUCCCAGCUACUCGGGAGACUGAGGCAGGAGAAUUGCUUGAACCCAGGAGGUGGAGGUUGCAGUGAGCCGAGAUCAUGCCACUGCACUCCAGCCUGGCGAAAGAGCGAGAUUCCAUCUAAAAAAAUUUAUAUAUAUAUUUUUUCUAACCCUCAAAACAGCCGUUUUCUCCUCCAUCUCCUCUUCCCUGAUGAAGAAGGGUAUAUAAGCGUCUGGAUCUCAUUGGGUUUGGGUCAUCAUGUUCUUGCAAUUCCCCUGUGCUUAUGCACAUUAAAUAAAUUUGUAUGCCUUUUCUUCUUAUUAAUCUGCCUAUUGUAAAUUCAUUUUCAGUGAACUUCGAAGGGCAGAGGGGAAACUCUCCCUUGGCCCCUACCCCUCCAAGGUCCCACUUUUCCGACAACACUCCUUGGACACAGCCGAGGUACGAACAUAAUAUGGUCCUGAAUGAGGCUGAGUUUUGGGUGCAGAAGACCUGGGUUAAUAAAAAUAGGAAGGUAAGAAAAGAAAAGAAAAAUCAAGACACAUCAUAGGACUAGCUUCCUAUUAUUUAUCAACUCAGGAUUGACCACCCUAUGGGCCAGACAGUUGUACCCAUAUGUACCAGGUGGGUACACGAAGACACGAGAAGCGCUGUGGUGGGUCAUUUUGCAUGUCAGCUUGCGUGGAGUAUGCCGACUCAUUGUUUGGUCAAACACUG
ensembl:lncRNA